rnacentral:rRNA from 1 species
AGUGAACGCUGGCGGUAGGCCUAACACAUGCAAGUCGAACGGCAGCACAGUAAGAGCUUGCUCUUACGGGUGGCGGAUGGCGGACGGGUGAGGAAUACAUCGGAAUCUACUUUUUCGGGGAGGAUAACGUAGGGAAACUUACGCUAAUACCGCAUACGACCUACGGGUGAAAGCAGGGGAUAUUCGGACCUUGCGCGAUUGAAUGAGCCGAUGUUGGAUUAGCUGGUUGGCGGGGUAAAGGCCAACCAAGGCGACGAUCCGUAGCUGGUCUGAGAGGAUGAUCGGCCACACUGGAACUGAGACACGGUCCAUGCUCCUACGGGAGGCAGCAGUGGGGAAUAUUGGACAAUGGGCGCAAGCCUGAUCCAGCCAUACCGCGUGGGUGAAGAAGGCCUUCGGGUUGUAAAGCCCUUUUGUUGGGAAAGAAAAGCAGCAGGUUAAUACCCCGCGGUUCUGACGGUACCCAAAGAAUAAGCACCGGCUAACUUCGUG